rnacentral:rRNA from 1 species
AUUGAACGCUGGCGGCAGGCCUAACACAUGCAAGUCGAACGAGCGGCGGACGGGUGAGUAAUGUAUGGGAAACUGCCCGAUGGAGGGGGAUAACUACUGGAAACGGUAGCUAAUACCGCAUACCAUCGGAUGUGCCCAGAUGGGAUUAGCUAGUAGGUGGGGUAACGGCUUACCUAGGCGACGAUCCCUAGCUGGUCUGAGAGGAUGACCAGCCACACUGGGACUGAGACACGGCCCAGACUCCUACGGGAGGCAGCAGUGGGGAAUAUUGCACAAUGGGCGCAAGCCUGAUGCAGCCAUGCCGCGUGUAUGAAGAAGGCCCUCGGGUUGUAAAGUACUUUCAGCGGGGAGGCGUUACCCACAGAAGAAGCACCGGCUAACUCCGUGCCAGCAGCCGCGGUAAUAC